rnacentral:lncRNA from 1 species
UAACUAACUAACCAACCUAACUAACCAAGCUAACUAAACCUAUCGCUAAACCUAGAUAGCACUAAACAGCAAAAAAAAAACAGAAUCUACCACUAAGUAACUAAAAAAGAAUCUAGCUACCACUAAAUACCAAACAAUAAAAAAUCAACUUCUUCUUCUUUUUUCUCUUCUUCUCCUUCUUAUUUUUUUCUUCUUCUCUUCUUCUCUUCUUCUUCUCUUCUUCUUUACUUCUUCUCCUUCUUAUUUUUUAUUCUCUUCUUCUUCUUCUUCUUCUUCUUCUUCUUCUUCUUCUUCUUCUUCUUCUCCUUCUUAU